GCGUGGCUUUGGUCGAUGACACCUGCCCUCGCAGCUGUGAGAGGACACGUCUCUGCGGUCGUAACCACCAAGCCGCUAAUCAGCGUUCACUCCACGGCCGUGCGGGGUCAACUGUCCUUUGAUGGCUCACACAGAUUCUGCCUCUGGGGCCAUGUGUCCCCGGAUUGGGCCGUGGGGGCCAGGGCUGUUGUGAGGCAGGUUGGAUGUGCUGGGCGGUGGCAGGACCUUCAUUUGGGUGGGGAGGCCUGUGCUUCCUGGUCACAGCCUGGAGAGGGGCGUGCAGACCCAGCCUGGAGGACACUGUUGGAGAAGCAGCAUGUUUUCCGAAGACGCUGGAAGCCUGUAAGGCUGUCGGCUCCACUGGGGGUGUCCACUGUGCGUCAGGAGCAGGCUCUCGGUGGUGUUCCUACGAGCCAGGUUGAGAGAAACAGCCGGAAGAACGGCCUCCACGUCCCGGGGCGUAGAGUCGCGUGACCGUCUGAAGGUACGUGCCUGCUGUUCGGGGCCUUGGUGUCGGUACGGCAGGAUCCCCCCAGCACCCCAGGGCCAGGCGAGGGUCUGAAAGGAGCAGCCUGGGGGCAGUAGGGGUCACACGCAGGACACACGUGCCCCUCCCUGGGAGGUGCGCCCAAGCACAGACCGUGGUCUCGUGCUGGGCUGGUCCUGGUCGGUGAGACAGGACACACACCACUGAUGCUCAGGGUGGGAGAAGGGCGGUCGCCACGCACAACUGACACGGGUUAGAAAAACCCACAGUCUGGGGUUUGAGGAGGAAGUGUCAGACACCAGCGACGGCCUCAGAAACCAGCGUCUGGAACCCUGAGGGUGUGGGCCUGGAUGAGGGAGUGCAGUACGGCCUGUGUCCCGGGAAGGGUGCCCUCCUGAAGUGCCCUGGGCGCAGAGCUGGCCCUGGAGCUGACAGCCUUUAGCUCUGACCGCAGGAGAUAGAGGCAGAGGACGGGGGACACGGUGGCCAGCCUGGCGCUCUCCAAAUCCCCCUGUGUCUGUAGGGCAGGAGACCCCAUUGUCUUCACCCGCGGGCUUGAGUGGGGGAGGGCGGGAGGCUGAGGCCCUUUGUGGUGGUCCCCCCCGCCCCGCCCCUUCCAGCUCUCUGUGCUGAAGCUGAACCCUGGGGUGGCCGGCACUUGGGUCUGUGCUGGAUGCUCGAGCCCCUGCACCUGUGCGCACAGUGGGUCGGAGGCACCUGGGACUCGGGCCCCCAGGGGAGCUCCUGUAACGUGCCUGCUGUGGGCGCUGGCCCCCGGGGUGUUCUGGCGCUGCCCUGGGCCUGAGUCCUGGCGGGCUGGCACUAUGCACUUUCCACCCACAUCCGGUGGUCUUGUCAUGCGUGGCUGUAUCAGUCAAGUCAGGGAUGGAGGACGUCUGUCAUGCCUCUGCGCUGGCACGAGGUAGCUGUUCUGCGGUGGGGUGGGGGUGCUGGGGGUUAAGGAGCAGGCGUCCGCAGGGGGCAGAGGCGUGAUGUCCCCGCUGGGCCGUCCUCCGUCCCCAGGCAGAGUGUGCUGGGCACUGAGGGCCCGUCUACUUACCUCACCCAGACCCUGAUGCCAGGAAGGUUCCAGCCCUUUCUGUCUGGGGUGGAACGCUCUAGAAACCCCCAGCCUUUGCUCUGGUUGAGCCGUGUUGGCAACAGGACCAGAGCAUCCCAUCAGGAACAUCACGGCCUCUUCUUGGGAUGAGCGACUGUGUCAAAUGCAUGGCCCACCGGCCAAGCAAGCCUGUCCUCUGCCAGGCCCCAUCGCUCGGGCCAUGCCUUGGCUGGGGCCAGCCAGCUUUAUCUGGGAAGUGGGGGUCACGUGCAUGGCCACUCUGACUCAGGACAGGCUGUGCCGGCCCGUGGCGGUCACAGCAACAGCCAGGUAGGCAGGUUUGAGGAGCGGCAGGCUCCAGGGUCGGGUUGAGGAGGGCACGGCACACGGCCUCGGUCUCCAGAGGGUCAACGGACCUGACCGCUGUGGAGACGUUCCAGCUUCCGCCGUUCAGCGUGGGCAGUCAGACCCACAUCUGCAGCCAAGAGCCAGGGGACGCGGUGUGACAGUGGGCGCUGAGUGUGAGCCGGCAGUUUAAUUAGCUGCUUGGUCUAAACCCCGGUGCCCGAUUCAGUGGCUGACAGAACUUUUGGUUGAAGCUCUUCCAAAGGGAGGGAGAGAGCAAUUCGUUUUGAAGGGCUCUGUGGAAUGCUCGCACACCAAGGGAACAUUCUAGAGAGAACACGACUCAUCCAAGCCUUCCCAAGGCAAGGGCUGAAACCACAGACAUGCAUUUUGGAAGGUUUAUGCAUUUUACUUUUUGUGUUUAUGUGGACAAACGUGACAGCAGGCAGGAGGGUAAGACAGACCCCAGUAAAGUGAGUUUGUUUUAGGGUUUUAAAUCCCUUUCUGCGGCAAGGAGCGUUGUGAACGGAGCACGUGACAGAGGCCCGAGCGUGUGUUAUUGUCACUGGUUAGGUGAGACUCAGACACCCGGCCUCACCUCUGAGGACAAGCAUGAGUGUUCUCCAGGUCCCUGAGCUGUGCGCGCACCGCGUCUGGAUUUCCUCACGUUGCCGCCCCGUGUGUACCUCCCUGGACACAGAGAUUCCGUCAGGGGCUCUGGCUCCUCAUCAGAACAACGCUGCUGUCCAACGGCCGCGGGGGCUGCGCGUGCAGAACCGGGCUUCUAUGGGCCUCUCUGCGAGGAUCAGAAAGACAGCAAGCCCAAAGCGCGGAGGCCGAGGGCUGCUCCCUGGGGUCUGCCCUCUCGCGUCCCUGGUCUCCCAAGACAGAAGGGCUCCCUUGGCCCCAGAAGCACCUCAGUUUCCUGCUUCAGAUAGUAGAGUCGGGGUCGGGGGAGGGUGGUCAGGGCACCCCUCUCCCUCGGGUGGCAUCUGGGGGAGCCGGCUAGGAAGGAGAGUUAGGUCAUCCUGUUCCCAUUCAUUGGCAAAGUGUGUAAGAUAGGUGGAAGUGUGCACUGUCGGAUGACCCGGGAAACGGAGACAAGGUGUGUACGCGAGUGCCCGUGGUGGCUCUGUCCACAGGAGCCUCACUGUGGGGACAACGUCCAUGGCAGCUGGACGAUCCCGACUGGCUACAGCCGUGCAGUGGGAUACGACUCAGCAAUGAGAAGGGAUGUCUGGCAACUGGGAGAACCCCAGAAGCAGCUGGCCUGCAGCAGGAGCCAGCCCAGAGCUGCUCCCUGACCCCCACGUGCGAAGCUGGAGAGGGCGCCCCAUCUGGAGCGGCAGAGCGCCUCAGGGCUUGUCGGCAGCCUGUUGUCUCACCAGCUGUGUGCGGGCGUUUUCUCAGUCCUGCCCUGCCCCAGACGGAGGCUUCCUGAGGCUGGGCAGACACUCGUGACGUCGGGGACACCCCCUGAGCUCCCCUGCAGGUGAGCCUGCGUCCCUGCUGCCCUGCCUCCAGCCGUCCCCGGAGUCCGCGGGGCUGGAGCGCAAUGUGCCUUGUCCCUCCUCCCGUGGCCAGACGAUGCUGAGAUGUGCUAGUCCGAGGGGCUGCAGGACGGUCCUGUAGUCCCCCUCCCCACUUAUGGGCGCUAAUUUCCCUCCUGCUUCCCGGGACCUGGGGGGUCCCCUAUCAGGCAGCCCCCCCUCCGCGUCUGCUGCGAGGAGCACCGAGGCUUAUGGUGAUGUAAGUUACAUCGUCUGAGCUCCACAGGGCACUGUGUGCGUUUAUGCUGCUCAAGGGCCCAGAGCCAACGUGCACAGAGGGGAAAACAGCUCAACUGGGAGCAGCCAGGGUGGGUGCACCCAGGCAUGGACGGACGACUGGAUGAGCGAAGCGUGUCUGUCCACGCAGUGGACUAGUCCUCAGCCUCAGAAAGGAAGGGCGCUCUGACCCCUGCUACCACGUGGAUGAACCCGGAGGACAUUGCGUUCAGGGGAAUGAGACAAAUACCGCUCUGAUAGGAGGGCCCCGGAGGAGUCCAGCUCGUGGAGGCUGAGCGUCGACGGUGGGCGCCAGGGCUGGCGGCUGGGGCGGGGUUCAGCUGGGGAAGAUGCGGAAGUUUGGGACGCGGACCGUGGGGACGGUCGCACCCCCGUGUGAGGGCGCUGAGUGCCGCGGAGCCGUGCACUUGAACGCAGGGAGGACGAUAAAGUUUAUGCUGUGUGUAUGUUACCACAAUUAAUAAAACAAAUGAUUUUUUAAAGGGGGGAGGAAAAGUCAGGGUCCUGUUUACGGGUCUGUUUCACAGCCCAGACAAGUCUCACGGGCGGAAAGUCGACGUGGAUUUAAGUAACUCACAGUCGCAGUUUAUUAGGAGAGGGAGGAAGGUACUUCAGGUUUGGCCCCUGGAGAGGAUUUCGAGGGAAGCUGAGCUCGGGGACCCAAUCGCAGGGCCACCUUGUCCGCGGGCGAGACACAGGACGCCUGGGGCCGGCAGCAGCUCACGCCUGCUGGGGUAGGAGGUGUUCCUGUCCUACGGAAACCCACAGAUGGAUGUGGGGGGGCGCUCGGGCGCUGGCGGACCCCCUAGGCUCCCGUGCGCAGGGGAGCCCCGCCCCCUCUUGCGUUCUUCAUGUGGCGCCCUUAUCUUCGGGGGAAUUUUGUUAAUCAUCCCAAGAACUGCUAAUUGUUCUGAAAGAGGGACCGCGAGUGUCAGUGCUGGUCGGGCGCGUCUGGACAAGCGCGGGCGCCGCCCCUCCCUGCGUCUGCCCCCCCCCCCCCGUUCAUGGAGUCGCUGCGUGCUGGGUGUGUGUGUGGGGGGUCUGUCUACCCUCCCCCGGUCCUGCUGGGUGUGUGUGUGGGGGGGGUCUGUCCACCCCCACCCCGGUCCUGCUGGGUGUGUGUGUGUGGGGGGGUCUGUCCACCCUCCCCCGGUCCUGCUGGGUGUGUGGGGUCUGUCUACCCUCCCCCGGUCCUGCUGGGUGUGUGUGUGGGGGGGGUCUGUCCACCCCCACCCCCCGGUCCUGCUGGGUGUGUGUGUGGGGGGGUCUGUCCACCCCCACCCCGGUCCUGCUGGGUGUGUGGGGUCUGUCCACCCCCCCGGUCCUGCUGGGCAGGGUCAGCUCCCCUACUCAGCUCCGGCUCACAGGCGCAUGUGCUUGGCAUUUGAGGGGGGUGCACCCAGCUUCAUCACAGACCCUGAGCCCCUCUGGAGAGCAGAGUCUCUGCCAGGCGACCCCUGACGGCCACCUGGACACAACCAGCUCUCCAACCGUGAAUCACCAGGCAGGGAUUUUUAAAAGCUCCCCGCAUGGCUCAGGAGCAGAGCCAGAGUUUGGGGAAGGACAGCAGACGCCGUGGGACCACAGUGAGCCCUGGACCUCCCAGCUCGGCGCAGAGCCUCAGGUGGGGAGAACAUGUGUCCUGAGGACAGGGACAAAAUGGAGCUGCCAGGCCACAGCUGGGCCAGCGCUCCAGGCCACCUCCCCGCUCCAGCCAAGGUGGGGUGGGUGGUAAGUCCGGGGCCUUCGGGACACAUUGGCUGGCUUAGGCCCCUGGGGACGCAGGGAUUACAGCCGCAGGGUCACUGGCCGGUCACUAGCUGCUUGGUCACAGGACAGUCCCGGUUCUGCACUGGGGUCUUGACUUCUUCUCUCUUCGUCCUCACGAAGUUUGGGGUUUUAGUUUCUUGAAUUUUUUUAAAGAUUUAUUUAUUUAUUUGAGAAAGAGAGCUCGAGAGAACCGGGGGAGGGGCGGCAGGAGAGGGGGAAUCUCAAGCAGACACCACGCUGAGUGCAGAGCCCCAUGUGGGGCUCGAUCCCUCGACCCCAAGACCACGACCUGAGCCGAAGCCAAGAGUCAGACAAUGAACGGACAGUGCCUCCCAGGCGCCCCCGGAGCUUCAGCGUCCCCACAAUUUUACCGCACGCGCCCCCUGGCUGUCCGCCAGCUCCUCCAGGGACGGACUGGGACACUGUCCACGGCUGGGUCAGCCUCCGGCAAAGUGGGAUCUGCCACCAUCGGCAGGCGGUUGGUCCUCGUCGCGUCGGGGACCCACCUGGGCUGCUCAGAACACCCCGGACGCGGUGCCGGGCCGGCCGAGGGAUCCAGGACCAGCUGCUGCCGCUUCCCAGCGGGCAGCACGUUCCCGCCACAAAUGCCUUAACCACGUGGGAAACGCUUUCUCCGUGAAAUCUUGGCAGGAGGAGAGGAGGAGGCCGCCAUGGAAGGCUUCCCCCAGACGACUCUCCAGGGGCUGCGGCUUAUGACAGCCUUGUCACCCGCCUCUCAAGUCUGGAUUUUCUGGCCGAGGGCUAGGGACGCGCUGGGCUGGCCUCUCUGAGCCCUUGCUGGGUUUUCUCUGGAAGCGCCGAUUUCUCUCCUUUGCUUUGUAUUUCUUUUCUUUGGGUAAAAACUUAAAAUACCACUGAAAAUAUGAAGCUAGUAAAAAGUGAGAACAAAAUAUUUUAAGGACAGUUAAACCAAGGGAAAAUAAAUAAAAUAUUCAACAAUUUCCCGAA